GUAGAAUAAGUGGGAGCCGUUUUCGGCGCAAGUGAAAUACCACUACUUUUAACGUUAUUUUACUUAUUCCGUGGGGCGGAGACGGGGCACUGCCCCUGUUUUUGGCCUUAAGGCACGUUUCGGCGGGUCGAUCCGGGCGGAAGACAUUGUCAGGUGGGGAGUUUGGCUGGGGCGGCACAUCCGUUAAAAGAUAACGCGGGUGUCCUAAGGUGAGCUCAAUGAGAACAGAAAUCUC
rnacentral:rRNA from 1 species